rnacentral:rRNA from 1 species
GGUACCUACGGGGCGCAGCAGUAGGGAAUUUUCGUCAAUGGGCGCAAGCCUGAACGAGCAAUGCCGCGUGAACGAGGAAGGUCUUCGGAUCGUAAAGUUCUGUUGAAGGGGAAAAAGAGCGGAGAGAGGAAAUGAACUCCGAUUGAUAUUACCCUUCGAGGAAGUCACGGCUAACUACGUGCCAGCAGCCGCGGUAAUGCGUAGGUGGCAAGCGUUAUCCGGAUUUAUUGGGCGUAAAGGGAACGCAGGCGGUCUUUUAAGUCUGAUGUGAAAGCCUUCGGCUUAACCGGGGCAGUGCAUUGGAA